rnacentral:rRNA from 1 species
UACGUAGGGGGCUAGCGUUGUCCGGAUUUAUUGGGCGUAAAGAGCGUGUAGGCGGCCAGGUAGGUCUGCUGUGAAAACUCGAGGCUCAACCUCGAGCUGUCGGCGGAAACCAUCUGGCUAGAGUCCGGAAGAGGAGAAUGGAAUUCCCGGUGUAGCGGUGAAAUGCGCAGAUAUCGGGAAGAACACCCGUGGCGAAGGCGGUUCUCUGGGACGGUACUGACGCUGAGACGCGAAAGCGUGGGGAGCGAACAGG